AUUGAACGCUGGCGGCAUGCCUUACACAUGCAAGUCGAACGGCAGCACGGGAGCAAUCCUGGUGGCGAGUGGCGAACGGGUGAGUAAUGUAUCGGAACGUACCUUUCAGUGGGGGAUAACGUAGCGAAAGUUACGCUAAUACCGCAUAUUCUGUGAGAAGGAAAGCAGGGGAUCGCAAGACCUUGCGCUGAUUGAGCGGCCGAUAUCAGAUUAGCUAGUUGGUGAGGUAAAGGCUCACCAAGGCGACGAUCUGUAGCGGGUCUGAGAGGAUGAUCCGCCACACUGGAACUGAGACACGGUCCAGACUCCUACGGGAGGCAGCAGUGGGGAAUUUUGGACAAUGGGGGCAACCCUGAUCCAGCCAUGCCGCGUGAGUGAAGAAGGCCUUCGGGUUGUAAAGCUCUUUCGGCCGGGAAGAAAUCGCAUGGGUUAAUACCCUGUGUGGAUGACGGUAUCGGAAUAAGAAGCACCGGCUAACUACGUGCCAGCCGCCGCAGUAA
rnacentral:rRNA from 1 species